UUCUCCUGGCCUAAGUGGUCAGAACGUCCGCCUCAGAUGCGGAUGGUAGCGGGUUUGAACCCCGGCCGAGUCAU